AUUUUUUCUUUACAAUUGUGUUUUUAUUUGCUGGAGAAUAGGAGACAAAAUUAGAUAACUGCUUUCUAUUUUCUAUCUUUUGCUAUUCCUUGUUACGGGAAUUUUUUUAUAGUAGUGCCUUAUGAUGAAACUUUUGAGUAUAUACUUGGGCUGUUGGUAAAGUAGAUAGUGAAGCUCAUUUUCUUCUUACAAUAAGUGAGAUAAAUGUAUUCCAUUUAUAGAUAUUUCACCGACUCUGUAAUGGAUUUUGUUUGUUGAUCCACUGUAUUUAGUGCUAUAUUUUUCAGAUUUGCUGAAUGUUAUCUGCCAAUCGUCACUGGGAAAUAAUGUGUAUGUUUUGAAAGCUGUUUAAGAUGCAUUCUUGCAUGGGCUUCCGACAUAAAACAUAAAAAGAAGCAUGAAUCAUUAAUUAGUUCAUAAAACUAUUGGUAGUUUUUUAUAGUGAAGGAAAAGCAUAUACCAAGUAGAACCUCACCAAUAAUCAGUACAUACUCUGUAAUAAUAAGUUCAUCUCCUUGAUCAAUUCCAUUGGUGGUAGCUGCAGUGAU
rnacentral:lncRNA from 1 species